rnacentral:rRNA from 1 species
UACGAAGGGGGCUAGCGUUGUUCGGAAUUACUGGGCGUAAAGCGCGCGCAGGCGGUCUUCCAAGUCAGUGGUGAAAGCCCGGAGCUCAACUCCGGAACUGCCAUUGAAACUGUUAGACUUGAGGACGAGAGAGGUGAGUGGAAUUCCCAGUGUAGAGGUGAAAUUCGUAGAUAUUGGGAAGAACACCGGUGGCGAAGGCGGCUCACUGGCUCGUAUCUGACGCUCAGGCGCGACAGCGUGGGAUCAAACAGGAUUAGAUGAC